GCUCCCGUAGCUCAGUAGGAUAGAGCAGUUCCCUUCUAAGGAAAAGGUCGGGUGUUCGAAUCACCCCGGGAGCG
rfam:Candidate division WWE3 bacterium RBG_16_37_10 RBG_16_scaffold_2482, whole genome shotgun sequence.